rnacentral:tRNA from 1 species
GGUCCCAUCGUCUAGCGGUUAGGACACCGGCCUCUCACGUCGGUAACACGGGUUCGAUUCCCGUUGGGACCA